rnacentral:lncRNA from 1 species
UAGUAGAAUGUGUUGCCAGAUGGGGAAGAUAGGGAAAGAACAGAGAUAGGGUUGAAAUCAGGAGUUCAUUUUGGACACUAAGUUUGAAAUGCUGAAUAGACAUCUAAGCGUUGCUUGGGCAUUUAGGGUUCAGGCAUCAAGAUUUUGGAGAAGAAGAAAUUAAAUAUAAAAACAAACACUACUUUAAUGGCCAUUAGACUCAAUUCUACUCUCAGACAUCUUAGGCAAAAAUGAGGGGAAUGAAACAGAGUUCCACAUGAAAAUCUAAUUAAACUGCUGCCUUGUGAUUUUCCAUAAUUGUGAUAAGGCCUUUAAUUAGCUGGCUCUACAGAGCACCGGGCACUGGGAAACCCACAAGGCAAAUUACUGCUGUGCGCAUCUUGGGACGCAUGUCCUCACAUCUGAACAGCUCAGAGUCCUCAAGCACAUAAUUACCCUCUGAGAAAGCUUUCCAGGAUGAAUGGCAUUUGGGAAAGUUGGGAAGUUGGAGAACUGGAUUUUCAAUCCAAAAGAUACAAUGGAAAGAGUGAUCAGAAGAUCUGGCUUGGAGUCCUGGGCUCUUUACAUAAGGACCUGAUGAUAUGGGACAAGUCAUCUAAUAACCAUCCAUCCAUCCACCCACCUGCCUCUCAUCUGAAUAGACUAUCUCCAGGGUAGUUUCCUUUUUCUUGAAUCUCUAGCAUCUCUACACCAUAUGGUGCUUAUUGCCCAAGUGUGAUAACAGAGGAAACCACCUGGAACAUAGAAAUCUACAGAGCACAAAAGAAGGAAGCUGAAACACCUGAACCCACAGAUCAACCUCAACAGCACUCAAAAUUGGAUAAUCAGGACAAGAACGGGGGAAGAUGAUGAAUAGGAGACAGGGCUAAUGUGCAGCUCCCACAUGGAUGGACAGAACAGUGUGUGCAGACUCACACCAUGAUCUUUUGCUCCAAGAACUACCACAGGAACGUACCGGGAAAACCAAAGGAAUUCACAGAUUUUUUGAAAGAAGUUGCACACUGCUGCAAAUUCCAUGAAACAGGCAAAAAAAAACUGUGAGUUCCCAAAGUGUGAGAGGAGGCAAACCUACCUCCAAACACAUAUCCCCACUGGGGAAUCUGA